rnacentral:rRNA from 2 species
UACGUAGGUCCCGAGCGUUGUCCGGAUUUAUUGGGCGUAAAGCGAGCGCAGGCGGUUUAAUAAGUCUGAAGUUAAAGGCAGUGGCUUAACCAUUGUUCGCUUUGGAAACUGUUAGACUUGAGUGCAGAAGGGGAGAGUGGAAUUCCAUGUGUAGCGGUGAAAUGCGUAGAUAUAUGGAGGAACACCGGUGGCGAAAGCGGCUCUCUGGUCUGUAACUGACGCUGAGGCUCGAAAGCGUGGGGAGCAAACA